CUACGGGCCGCUGCAGGCGCGAAACCUUUACAAUGCACGCAAGUGUGAUAAGGGGAUCCUAAGUGCUCAUGCAAAGCAUGGGCUUUUGCCAAUCGUAAAUAGUUUGGCGAAUAAGUGGUGGGUAAGACUGGUGCCAGCCGCCGCGGUAACACCAGCGCCACGAGUGGCAACCACGUUUAUUGGGCCUAAAGCGUCCGUAGCCGGUUAGAUAAAUCUCUUGUGAAAUCGUCAGGCUUAACUUGACGGCGUGCUUGAGAGACUGUCUAACUUGAGACCGGGAGGAGUCAAAAGUAUUCCUGAGGGAGCGGUAAAAUGUGAUAAUCUCAGGAGGACUAUCUAUGGCGAAGGCAUUUGACCAGAACGGAUCUGACGGUGAGGGACGAAGGCCAGGGGAGCGAUCCGGAUUAGAUACCCGGGUAGUC
rnacentral:rRNA from 1 species